UUCGACCUCUUGAAAGCCCACAUCAUACUAGUUGGAUUCUAUAUAGCCUAAAUAUAUACAUAUCAUACCAACCGUACUCACGCCAUAACCACCUGAUAAUCUAGUAGAACCUGUAAUGAUGAACCUAAGAUCCAACCUCCAUUGAACCCGUGAACCUAAACACUAUAAAACUGGAUUCGAAUCAUCGAACAUAUACGGGGUAACCUAGUAGAACCUAUGAUGAUGAACCUAAGAUCCAAAUUCUAUUGAACCCGUUAACCUAAACACUAUAAAACUGGAUUCGAAUCAUCGAACAUACACGGGGUAUACUUAUACUCGGUACCUCUACUAUGUUUACCUAGCCUCAACCAUCUGAAGCUACUAAAACGAUUGGGAGGGGUUUUUACAAUACAUGUUCUAUUGAACCCGUGAACCUAAACAUAAAACUGGAUUCGAAUCAUCGAACAUACACGGGGUAUACUUAUACUCGGUACCUCUACUAUGUUUACCUAGCCUCAACCAUCUGAAGCUACUAAAACGAUUGGGAGAGGUUUUUACAAUACAUGUUCUAGUAGUACCAACACCUCCCUUUUGAUCCGUACUGAGUUGGGUUACACAUUCUUCUUUAUACUAAAACUGGUACGCUUACCUUUAUGUACAUGUACGGUGGAACGUUCUCCAAUAACUCACGUCCGUUGGGACACAACCACUUCCUGGGUAGGAACCGCGGCCCCUUUACUUCACUGUCCCCAGAAUUCUGACACUCCCGUUUUAACCCUGCUCACUGAGUCGAGUCCCAAGGAGAAACGUACAAGUUCACUUUUCCGCCUCCUACCGUCCCGCACGACGAGAACUAUCGCAAACGUAGCGAAGAAGUAUGGAGAGCACGUGAGAAGCAAAGGGCAGAUAAGCUGAACCGCAGGAAUGGUACAAACUCCCAAUACACAGUGCCUGAACCAAGGCGUAGGGUGCAAGGGAACGAUCCUCAGGGAUCGGAACCGCUGUCCAUCGCUGCACGUGAACCCGCGAACCACAGGAACCCAUUCAAGCCCCGGCCACGGGUUCGAACGUCGAUACCGCUGUUGAACGUACCCUCGUCUACUACAUCCUUGUUCCGUCGUGUGCUCAUUGAGCGUCGGUCCCUUUACUAUGGAUCGGCUUAUACGUCCGUCACCUCUCAUGUGCCCUCAACACCCAUCCCCACUUUUGCGACGGCCCUCGCAUGACGACGACGGCAAUCAAUCGGAAAUCUAGGUCUCAGUUCACCGCUCCCAUACUACUAUCCCCUAGCCCCUUCUAAGGAAGGAAACUUCUAACUUCGACCUCUUGAAAGCCCACAUCAUACUAGUUGGAUUCUAUAUAGCCUAAAUAUAUACAUAUCAUACCAACCGUACUCACGCCAUAACCACCUGAUAAUCUAGUAGAACCUGUAAUGAUGAACCUAAGAUCCAACUUCCAUUGAACCCGUGAACCUAAACACUAUAAAACUGGAUUCGAAUCAUCGAACAUAUACGGGGUAACCUAGUAGAACCUAUAAUGAUGAACCUAAGAUCCAACCUCCAUCGAACCCGUUAACCUAAACACUAUAAAACGGGAUUCGAAUCAUCGAACAUACACGGGUAUAUACCUAUACUCGUACCUCUACUAUGUUUACCUAGCCUCAACCAUCUGAAACUACUAAAACGAUCGGGACGGGUAUACAUAACCUGAAUCUAUUGAUACUAUGAUCCGAACCAACCUAAUAUUAAUACUAAAAACGAUCUAAGGAAACUUCUAACUUCGACCUCUUGAAAUCCAACAUCAUACUAGUUGAACUCUAUAUAGUCUAAAUAUAUCCAUAUAUACUAACCGUACUCACACCAUAACCACUCGAUAACCUAGUAGAACCUAUAGUGAUGAACCUAAGAUCCAACCUACAUUGAACCCGUGAACCUAAACACUAUAAAAAUGGAUUCGAAUCAUCGAACAUACACGGGGUAUACCUAUACUCAUACCUCUACUAUGUUUACCUAGCCUCAACCAUCUGAAACUACUAAAACGAUCGAGAGCACAUAACCUGAAUCUAUUGAUACUAUGAUCCGAACCAACCUAGUAGGUUUUGUAAUUGCAUGCGUAGUUCCGGGGAGCGAGCGCGCACGGUACACACUUCCUUCUCUGUUAGCUAAAUGACACGUCGGUCUAAAUAUAACACAUGUUUUUUGUUUCCACUAGGUGGUGCCAACGUCGCUCGUUCUCCCUUAGCGGAGCUCGGGGAGGGAAGAGUAGAGAGGGUGCGUUGGAGGUACCACCCGCCGAUCGACCCCAACGGCGGCGGCGGCGGGGGCGGGGUAGCCGGGUAGGAACAAGUAGGAUGUGGCCGGUGGCCUCUUCCCCGCAAGGAGUCUAGGAGAAGAGGGGUUUGGAAGAGCAGAAGCACAAGGUGGGCAGGAGGUACUACCGACAUCUGCCCCGCCCCUUCCCCUACAGUAGCUCCACGGCAAGCCACGGCAAGCCCGCCGCUCAACGUCUCCUCCCCGCGCCCGUUCUCCUACCGUAGCUCCCAAGAACACUUAGCACAACCAGCAAGACCCCGCAACCUCACCCGGUUUAUGGACUGCUGCCCAUUCUACCUCCACAACAGGCUUGUCACCAACGAGCCAACGCUGGUAUACCACUCCGAGUAAAAGAAGAAAAACACUAACUAACUAACAAGUGUUCUAUCCAAUCUAAAAACACCGUAUAGUGAUACGAAACAGACAACCACAUCUUGAAAAGGAUAACAUAAUAGUCGACACACUGCUCUCCUAUCUGGCUGGUUAGACUUCGACGAUGAGGGAACAUUCAAGGUACAUGACCCUAAAAUGAAGAACUCAAAAGAGAGAUUUACCAUCUUACUUUUCUCCGUUUUCAAUAUAUACCUAACUAAGGACUUCACGAAUCUAGUGUGUCCCGUCUGAAGUAUCACCCUCCACGAACUGAAGGUUAAGGUUCUUUGUUAAAAACUGAAGGUUAAGGUUCUUUGUUAAAAAUUGUACGAACUCCCUCGAAUUCCAAGGUAACUGAAAUCAAAGUAGUUUUAGAUAUUAAACAUCCUUCCAUAAACAACGGUUUUCUACAACCAGCAAGAUGGUAAUCUGACUGUUAGGGUAGAAAUUAAAAAUGACGUGAAAAUCCUUUGACGUUAAAUGUAGAAGAGAGAAAAAUAUAUUUGAACGAUUCUAAUAAAUAAAAAGAAACCAGAGAGUAGGAUGGCAUCGAUAGAUAGACAACGUAUUUUUUUUCCCGUUGGACCACGUACAUCGAGGGCGAACGCGUCCCAGGUCCCUUCCCAGGCUGGUGAAACCCAGAUAUCAUGCGUCGGAAAGGGAUGUAAAGACAUUCUCCGACAAAGGUCCUGAACUUGGGUACUGGAGUACCAGUGUUCCGUCGUCGAAAUGGUGACGCGGUUCCGAGGGGAAGUCGAUAGAUAGACAACGUAUACGUAAAUUUUAAUCCGUAAAUUUUAACCACUACAGGGAAAAUCAAACGAUGUAAGAAGCUGAUAAACAAUCCUUUGUGUGAUUAAAGUCUUCUUGAUACGACUAGAGUGGUAUAAAUAAACCACCACAAGCACACAAACUACAAUACUAGGAACAUAACUGUUCAACAAACGUGGUACCAGAAACUGAGACAAAGACUCUAGUCCACCGACCUGAUGAAACUGAGUAUCAACUCUAUUAACGUAAAGUUGCCGACUUUGAUAAAAACGUGAUAUGAAUAUAAAUUAAUUGGAGACUUGUUGGUAGAUUUUCUGACGUGUUUAGAAGGGCAAAUUGGUCAUUUUUUACCUGGAAAUACAAAACUUCAAACUUCUUGUAAAUGUCAAACCCUACUAGAAUGAGAAACAAGUCUCACUUAAAUGAUAAAGUUUAUAUAGGAUACUAAGCAACUAUUACACAUAACGUCUAAGUAGUACAUUAUUUUUUCUCGGAAACACUAUGUCUUGUACUAAAUUAAUAGAAAAUGUUGAGGGUAAACCUAAGCAAGUCACAGGUGUCGAGAUCUGUAGCUAGAGUAGAUGGAGUAGACAUACCAUUACCAAGUUGCCAAUUUACAGACAAGAACCAUCAAAAAACUCAUACAGAUGACUUCAACAUUCAAAAAACAUAAGAUUAAACCAACUCUAUGAAUUUGUCACUAAACAAUGAAGUGGACAGCUAUUUACAUCCCGAUUUCGUUAUUGACCCUUUAGUACUUAAGGUACAUGAACAGUAUCGGCUAAGAAACAACAAGUCAUCAAACAAAGUUCUCACGUCCAGCAAAAAGAUAUUCGACCUACUUAUCGAGGGAACAAGUCAUACAUGACUUAAAAUGAACGAUAAAAUAAUUAGGAUAAUUCGUUUCUACGGAAAAGACGUAACAGUGUGUAAUUACGAGGAUAAACUUCCUGGGUCCUCUUUUAAGUCGCAAACAUGAUGAUACAAAGGUAUCAUCAAUACGAGAAAGAGACUUUAUUCUUGUUAGUUUAUCUUUAUAUCACAACUAAGAAGAGGAAAACAUUGUUAAACAAGAAUCGAUAUUAUAAUUGUACUUAACAUAAACACUUCAACAGGGAUUCGUCUUGUUCAACCGUACCUCGUCAGACAAGAUUUUCAUUACAUAGGUAUACAAUGACGGUUAGUCCACAAAGGAAAGAAAGAAAUGGACUUCGAGAUAUACUUAACAAGAGACUCACGUUCACCAGGUACACCUAAAAAUUGUAUAGUACGAUACAUGCUCACUACCAAGAGAUAAAGGUCUAAUCUAUACUACCUAUCACAGUCUAAUGACUCGUGGUAAAUGUAUAGGGACUUCAAUAUAAUGCGACAACACAAUAUAUAUGUUUUUAUCAAUAACACCUACGACUACGUACGUUGAUAUCCUCCUUUUUUAUUAACAAAAACAGCUUCCAGAACCAAAGACGCCCUACCUAGAUGCGCAACGGGAGAACCCAAUAGUAGGAACAAAACGGGUUUUACUGAUUCGAAGUCAAUGAGACAAAACUAAGGGAUUGAGGUCGUAAUAUACAUCAGCCUGAUUGGGUCAUCAUGAUUAUUGUGAAACCAAAGGGAUUCGAAGUUAAAUCAAAACAAAAGCGUAAUGAAGAAAAGGUAUACCCAACCUCACCCUCGAUACUAUAAGAGAAAAGUGCUAUACUAAUAGACUUUCUAAUGAUUCGUUUGUUAAUAAAAAUUAUGUGUAUCCUAUCCCUGUACUCAAAAUUGAAGGAGACCAACACUCCUCUAUUAUUUCUUCGACUCUCUAGCUGACAAACUCUUCGCCCAAGUCCUCUAGUUUCGGUUGUUGUUGGAUCCGAAACUUUUUCUACAAAUGUUACUUUUUGACUCCUUCAACACUACCUGACUUUCUAAACGAACUUCGUUUCCGUAGGUGGACCCUAUAUAUACCGAUCUUCGAUGUCGCUCGUUGACGAAGAAAAGUCGACGAUUACUCUAUAAAUACACAAGUAUCCCCUCACGUAGCCCCGUAGCCCGCCAGCAUACUCUUCUUCACGCAAGUCGACUCCUGGGUACUACGGUUGCCACAUCUCGGCAAGUGGUAGCUCUCCUAGUCCCGACGGUAAUCCUGGAAGCUCCGCUUCGAGUUGUAGAGGCGGCGGAAAGAGCUGCUUUAGAGGGUUUCCGAGUAACGGCGAACGCUAUUGAGUAUCGCGAGGAGAGGAACGGCACGCCAACUUCCCUCCGUAGUCUCCGUACGGCGGCGGCGGUCGCGACUUUGCACGUCGUUAAAGAUAACAACAUACAAUACAACGGUACGUUGUUCUACGAAAACAACUACCAUAAUAUAACAACACACAAUGGACACUACACUACUUUGUGACUACUCUAAAAUCCAAGAAUGAGUACACUACGUAGUUGUAUUAUUCAAAUACUUUUAAAUGUACAUACACGAUAGGUCUAAUUUUUUCUUCAACUUUCCCAACAAGGGAUGGA
rnacentral:rRNA from 1 species